GAGGGCGCGCUAGAGGAGGACGGAGCUGGAUUGCACCAAGUCGUGGGCGACGGGUCUAGACCCCCCGGAUCGACGCUGAGGCGUUGCAGUGGUACACCAAACCAGUCAUGGCGGUAUGUAUCAAUUUGCAGGCGAUUCUUCAUUGUGUGCGUUUCUGGCCGUUGUUGGAGUCUUAGUCAGGCGACCGUUCAGGAGAAGAUGCAGGGGUUGCGAGGCGAGGCAAGUAGGCGGUUCUCACCACGCCUCUAUGUUCUAUCUGGCCCUAGCAGGAAUUCAUGGGCAGAUGAGCGAGGGGAGACUGGUGCUCCAUUGAUUAUCUGGAGGGAUAUUAAUAGAUGCCUUGACAAAUGAUCCUUGAGAAAUUGGAGGAUAAAUGGUGACAUCAUAAAUGCACAUUUAGUUCAUUAGAUGCAUACGACAUCAAUUCAUAUAGAAAAAGGGAAACAAGUAAACCACAAGGCAAAUGUCUCCUUAUUUCUUAGUACUGGUUUACAUCAGGCCAAACCCGUGCACAAUAGCUUCAUUUCUUUCUGGACCUCACAUGCACCUUAUUUUCUACUCUACUUCUGAAAGUGAGCAUAUGAAUAUAAUGCCUUCUGAGUGAAAUAAGAAACUGCAGUUGAACGCGAGUUAGCAAGGCUGUGGCUUCAUGAGUUUCUGUAAUGUCUUAGGGACUUUUAUCU